GACGAACGCUGGCGGCGUGCUUAACACAUGCAAGUCGAACGGAAAGGCCCUGCUUUUGUGGGGUGCUCGAGUGGCGAACGGGUGAGUAACACGUGAGUAACCUGCCCUUGACUUUGGGAUAACUUCAGGAAACUGGGGCUAAUACCGGAUAGGAGCUCCUGCUGCAUGGUGGGGGUUGGAAAGUUUCGGCGGUUGGGGAUGGACUCGCGGCUUAUCAGCUUGUUGGUGGGGUAGUGGCUUACCAAGGCUUUGACGGGUAGCCGGCCUGAGAGGGUGACCGGCCACAGGGGGAGUGAGGAGCCGCCCGGGGACGUAGGGGAGGCGGGAGGGGAUAAGUUGACAGGAGGGGCGGAAGCGUGAAGGAGGAGCGCCGGGUGGGGGAGGGCGGGCGUCGGGUUGAAAGCGGCUGGCGCGGGGGAGGAAGGGUGAGGGCCGGUAAUGGGAAAAGAAGCAGCGGCUAACAACGUGCCGGCAGCGGCGGUAAAGACGCAAAGAACCCGACUGAAC
rnacentral:rRNA from 1 species